rfam:Rattus norvegicus chromosome 1, whole genome shotgun sequence.
GGGGAUUUAGCUCAGCGGUAGAGCGCUUGCCUAGCAAGCGCAAGGCCCUAGGUUCAGUCCCCA